GGAAGAGGAGGAGGAGGAGGGGACCUCUGGGCUGCGAACGAGGGGGCCGGGCCCUGAUGCUCUGCCGGCGCCUCCGCCCUCAGGCCCGGCAGGGGCGGGUGGACGGACUGGUGUCGCCUCAGCUCCCCACGGCGGCGGGGCCGGCGGGCUCGGGCGGGCGCGGCUGAGGGGAGGGGACUGAGGAGGGCGGGUUAACAGCGCCCAGGGCCGUCGCAGGCCUGAGCCCGCCCCGGAGGAGGGGGAACCCGCCGGGUGGCUUGGUGCGUGUGAAGCGCGACAUGGCGGCGAGGCCGACGAGCCCUUGUGGCCCGGAGUGUACCGGGAAGGGGGCGGGGCUAGGGCGGCCUUGACAACCAUAAGAUAGCCUUCGCCCCGGCGACUCCGAGACUACAUUUCCCAGAGAGCCCCGCGUGGCGCGGGAGGGAACGGGAAGUGCCACCGGCACAGUGCGCAGGCGCGAGAGCCUCCUCUGGUUAUAUAAGAGAGGUCUAGGGCGUUUCUCGUUCCUUUGCGUCUUUGGCCCUGGUUCUUCUGUCUUGUGUUGGGUCGUACCUCAUCCGACCCAUCCGAUGAAGUCUGGGCCCGGAAACUCGGGUUUGCUACUGUGUGUGGUUGGCGCGAUCAGAGGGUACCGAAUGGAUCUUGGAGGAGGGAGGCACUCGCUGCUGGGCCUCCAAGAGACCCCCACGUAGACGUCUCCAGCCUUCGGUCUCCUGACUUGGGCUUGGAUUUCCGACUCCAAGAUCGAGUCACAUGCUCUACCAACCCAGCCAGCCAGAUCGAUGCCCCACAUUUACUGUUGGCAGAAAGCAGGCUUCCAAGUGGACCAGAAGUGGGAAGUGAUGUCCACGUGGCUGAGUAGACACAGGAUCUGGAGAAGGGAGAGGUAGUAACUGCUUUUCUUUUAAAUUGUCCGGAGCCCUGUGAGGCACAGGGCAGUAAGUCGAUUGAUGUAGACUGAUCUGCUUGUUUCAAGUCUGUCCCAUAACAGGAUUUUCUCAACUGGAGUUUGAAUACAAGCCUCGAAAAAGAUUGGCCUUGACCUUGUGCUUUUCUGAGAAAGGAUAAUUAAUAGUUCUGGAUGAAUCAGUCUCACAAGGCUUUUGUGUAACCUGAAGACUGUCUAAGGGCCUGUGUGCAUUUUGAAGAAUAAAGAAUUAUUGUUGAACUGUGGUAAAAUUUCCAACUUGUAUCUUCCCAAUCUGGAGUAAGAAAAUAAAAUUCUUCAAGUAAAAA